rnacentral:sRNA from 12 species
UGACCAUUCCCGCAAAAGGGAAUCAAGGCCAUACGGACAGCCGGGUCAACUGCCGA